rfam:Bombyx mori DNA, contig: Bm_scaf69_contig30700, strain: p50T/Dazao, build 2, whole genome shotgun sequence.
UUAACUCAAAUUUGUAUGAAGUUUGAACGUUCGUCCACGUUUGCCGCUAGGGGCGCUGUUCCAACUGCAUACAAAUUUGAGUUA